UACGUAGGCAGCGAGCGUUGUUCGGAAUUACUGGGCGUAAAGAGUGUGUAGGCGGUGUUCCCAGUCUGUUGUGAAAUCUCCCGGCUUAACUGGGAGGGUGCAGCGGAAACUAGAAUGCUAGAGGGUGGGAGAGGUAAGCGGAAUUCCUGGUGUAGCGGUGAAAUGCGCAGAUAUCAGGAGGAACACCAAUAGCGAAGGCAGCUCGCUGGGACGUUACUGACACUAAGGCGCGAAAGCGUGGGGAGCGAACAGG
rnacentral:rRNA from 1 species